GACGAACGCUGGCGGCGUGCUUAACACAUGCAAGUCGAACGCUGAAGCUCAGCUUUUGUUGGGUGGAUGAGUGGCGAACGGGUGAGUAACACGUGAGUAACCUGCCCCCUUCUUUGGGAUAACGCCCGGAAACGGGUGCUAAUACUGGAUAUUCACUGGUCUUCGCAUGGGGGUUGGUGGAAAGGGUUUUUCUGGUGGGGGAUGGGCUCGCGGCCUAUCAGCUUGUUGGUGGGGUGAUGGCCUACCAAGGCUUUGACGGGUAGCCGGCCUGAGAGGGUGACCGGUCACAUUGGGACUGAGAUACGGCCCAGACUCCUACGGGAGGCAGCAGUGGGGAAUAUUGCACAAUGGGCGCAAGCCUGAUGCAGCGACGCCGCGUGAGGGAUGGAGGCCUUCGGGUUGUGAACCUCUUUCGCUCAUGGUCAAGCCGCAACAAUGGUUGUGGUGAGGGUAGUGGGGAAAGAAGCGCCGGCUAACUACGU
rnacentral:rRNA from 1 species